GGAUCCCCAUCCAAGCCUUAGUUACUAAGUGUUCUUGACAAGUGAUAGUUUAUUCUACAGGAGCACUUUAAAAUUUUCGAUAUGUCAGGAUCAGGAGACAAAAAAGAAGACAAGCCCUGCCGUCCACCACCUAACGAGACCCCUCACGUCCCUCAAGAUACCACAAGAGAUCGUCCUAGAGCAUGAUCCAAUUAUCUAGCAAAAAUUUGCAUCUUAGACAUGAGACGUGUUCUGAACAAGAUUGUUUUUAACCAAGAUUGGCUCCUUAAACAAGAUUUUACAUUAUCCCAGAAAUCAAAACAAACGUAUUGAACAGAUAGCCAUGCGUUCAGCCUCACACUCUACGUGGAGUAUGUGCCAUAAGAUCCAGCUUAUCUUUAUAUCUCAUACGUGUUAUCAAUUACUGAAAUAAACAUGACGCAGUGGAUAUGCCGAUAUGACACAACAAAAGUCUAAAAAAUUGCAUGAUCAAUAUGACAGAAUAUCCAUGUAAUCAUUAUCUGUUCCACUAUAACUUAUCAUAACUUCAUAGGUGAUACAACAAUUUUGUAAUAUAUCCUGUGGUCUGCAUAGUUUUCAAGACAGCCUCAGAUUAAAAAAUAUAAUCUCGGAGCAAUGUGUGGAAUAUAAAAUCAAAGUUCUAGAAUUUCAGGCAAUAUUACGGAUUAUUUAUAAAUUUACUAUCAUUAAUUUCACACUAUAUUGUGCUUUUGUUAAUAGUACCUUAUUUAUUAUCAAAUAACCCAGGGCUGUUUUGAUUUAAGUGGGCUAUUAGACGAUCAAUUAGGCAUCAAUUCAUUUAGAGUAGAUUCACUUCCAUCAAACAAAAUUAAUGCUGGCUGUCAAUAGACGAUAAAUCUGGUUGACUUCAGUCUCCUGAAAAACUGAGCUGAGAAUAAUAUUACUAAACCAAUUGCGUGCAGGAAUAUUAAGUAUAUUUGGUUACAAAAGCAAGAUUUAACAACCUGUAUAAUAUUUUAUAUUAUAUUAAAAGAAUUUUAAAUACAAACAUGAUUUAGAGAUGAGGAAUGACAUGGAGGAUAUUACGACGAGAAAGAAGAUUCAGAUUGACUCAUCACUACAACUCUACCAGUUUAUUCCAGAUUGACGAUUUAAAAUAAACUAUACAUUACACGAUCAAUCUGACUACUGAUGGGACUGAUUCUAAAAUUAUCCUCAAAUGGCUCAUGUACACUAACGUCACAGAAAGUAACCUAAAAUACUGUACAGCUAUGCAAGAUAUAUACAGCGACAUGCCAAAUUAGCAUUAGUGAAUUGACAAGGCCUUAGGGCCUGUUUACGAAUUAAGUAAAACCACAUUUUAUAUUCACAAUAAAAAAAAUAUGUAGAAAUGUUAGGAUAUCUUGUGCGGAACAUGUCUUAAUGUUAGUUGAAA